GGAGGAAUACCCAAGCGGUUGAAGGGGUCGGUCUUGAAAACCGAUAGUGGGCUCAAUACCCAGCCAGGGUUCGAAUCCCUGUUCCUCCGCCA
rnacentral:tRNA from 1 species